UGUCAAAUGUGAAAUUUGGUUGAAAAAUGUAUGAAGCUUGCAACACUGAAUAAUCUGUUGUUAUUUUUUCCAAAUAAGCUACCGUAGUAACCCCUGGAUACGUAGAAAAGAACGAUUUGAAAACAAAACAAACCGUUAGUGUUUCAAAAGAAGUAGUAAUAACUUAUCUUGGGAGCAAAUAAAUGAAUGAUGUGCUGUGUAGGAACGAGUCAGAAUACGCGUGAAAGAACCGGAACCACCGAUACAGAAAACUCAAUCGAAAAAUAGGAUUGUCGGAAGGAUUGGUAUACCGGAACCGUGAUUAUCGAAGAAAUAUCCAGAUAUAGUGAUCAAUCAUGAGGGGCUAUUUCAAUUCAUGCGGUUGUAAUCUACAACUGCACCAUUUCCAGAAAUCACAUUCAACAGUCGCUGGAAUGAUAUCCAGUCGCAUAUAAACCACUCGAACGUACUACCAUCGUCGGAAAUCACCUAGGCCACUGACGAUAGAUUACACAAAAUAACAAAAUCAAUUGAAAAUUGAUUAUGUAAAAUAUACGAACAAUAGCUCAGAGCUAGCCGAGGCUGAGGAGGCAAGGAGAAUGGAAACAUAUACAAUGAUCCCAAUGGAAUAGUGGGUGUACUGGCCAUUAGAUUAAAAUUUAUAUUACAACGCCCUACAAUCGAAGAUCCUCCUUUCGGAUAAAAUAAUUUGCAUGUAAAGAUUUGAAACUUUGCGAUCAGCGAUCAAUUUGACGAGAUUUGUAAAAAAAUAUCACUGUC